UCGAGUGAACCUAAGUACUGC
rnacentral:siRNA from 1 species